UACGGGGGGAGCAAGCGUUGUUCGGAUUUACUGGGCGUAAAGGGCGCGUAGGCGGUCGUGACAAGUCACUUGUGAAAUCUCCGGGCUUAACUCGGAACGGUCAAGUGAUACUGUCGGACUAGAGUACAGAAGGGGCAACUGGAAUUCUCGGUGUAGCGGUGAAAUGCGUAGAGAUCAGGAAGAACACCGGUGGCGAAAGCGCUCUGCUAGGCCGCAACUGACACUCAUGGACGAAAGCUAGGGGAGCGAAUGGG
rnacentral:rRNA from 1 species